rnacentral:rRNA from 1 species
GAACGAUAACGGCGUCGAGCGGCGGACGGGUGAGUAAUGCCUAGGAAAUUGCCCUGAUGUGGGGGAUAACCAUUGGAAACGAUGGCUAAUACCGCAUGAUGCCUACGGGCCAAAGAGGGGGACCUUCGGGCCUCUCGCGUCAGGAUAUGCCUAGGUGGGAUUAGCUAGUUGGUGAGGUAAGGGCUCACCAAGGCGACGAUCCCUAGCUGGUCUGAGAGGAUGAUCAGCCACACUGGAACUGAGACACGGUCCAGACUCCUACGGGAGGCAGCAGUGGGGAAUAUUGCACAAUGGGCGCAAGCCUGAUGCAGCCAUGCCGCGUGUGUGAAGAAGGCCUUCGGGUUGUAAAGCACUUUCAGUCGUGAGGAAGGUAGUGUAGUUAAUAGCUGCAUUAUUUGACGUUAGCGACAGAAGAAGCACCGGCUAACUCCGUGCCAGCAGC